UUGCUGGUCAUCCUGCCAAUAGAUGCUGC
rnacentral:piRNA from 1 species